AUGCAUUGUUUGACAGACCUGGAGCAGUUACUGUCUGCUACUAAGGUUUUCACUACAGAUUCGAGAAAAAAGUGUCCUCCGGCUUCCUGUCUGUCUGCUCAUGGCAGCCAAGAUGGAAUAGAGUAAUACAGGG
ensembl:snoRNA